AACCAGGCAACGGGGUGCGUCCCGCCACAAGGGGCGCUGAGAAAACACCCGUCGAACCUGAUCUAGGUCGUUCUAGCGAAGGGGAUUGUCAGUAUGGCUACG
rnacentral:ncRNA from 2 species